rnacentral:rRNA from 1 species
UACGAAGGGGGCUAGCGUUGCUCGGAAUCACUGGGCGUAAAGGGUGCGUAGGCGGGGCUUUAAGUCAGGGGUGAAAUCCUGGAGCUCAACUCCAGAACUGCCUUUGAUACUGAGGAUCUUGAGUUCGGGAGAGGUGAGUGGAACUGCGAGUGUAGAGGUGAAAUUCGUAGAUAUUCGCAAGAACACCAGUGGCGAAGGCAGCUCACUGGCCCGAUACUGACGCUGAGGCACGAAAGCGUGGGGAGCAAACAGG